UUAAAUUGAAGAGUUUGAUCAUGGCUCAGAUUGAACGCUGGCGGCAGGCCUAACACAUGCAAGUCGAACGGUAACAGGAAGCAGCUUGCUGCUUCGCUGACGAGUGGCGGACGGGUGAGUAAUGUCUGGGAAACUGCCUGAUGGAGGGGGAUAACUACUGGAAACGGUGGCUAAUACCGCAUAACGUCGCAAGACCAAAGAGGGGGACCU
rnacentral:rRNA from 1 species